rnacentral:rRNA from 1 species
UGGGGAAUAUUGCGCAAUGGGGGAAACCCUGACGCAGCAACGCCGCGUGAGCGAAGAAGGCCUUCGGGUCGUAAAGCUCUGUCAUAAGGGAAGAAGUCUCUCAUUAAGAGAGGUGACGGUACCUUAAGAGGAAGCCCCGGCUAACUACGUGCCAGCAGCCGCGGUAACACGUAGGGGGCAAGCGUUGUCCGGAAUUAUUGGGCGUAAAGGGCGUGUAGGCGGUUAAUUAAGUCAGGUGUGAAAGCCCGGGGCUUAACCCCGGGACUGCACCUGAAACUGGUUAACUUGAGGGCAAGAGAGGAAAGCGGAAUUCCUAGUGUAGCGGUGAAAUGCGUAGAUAUUAGGAGGAACACCAGUGGCGAAGGCGGCUUUCUGGCUUGACCCUGACGCUGAGGCGCGA